CACGCCCUAAACGAUGUCAACUAGUUGUUGGGGAUUCAUUUCCUUAGUAACGUAGCUAACGCGUGAAGUUGACCGCCUGGGGAGUACGGUCGCAAGAUUAAAACUCAAAGGAAUUGACGGGGACCCGCACAAGCGGUGGAUGAUGUGGAUUAAUUCGAUGCAACGCGAAAAACCUUACCUACCCUUGACAUGGUCGGAAUCCCGCUGAGAGGUGGGAGUGCUCGAAAGAGAACCGGCGCACAGGUGCUGCAUGGCUGUCGUCAGCUCGUGUCGUGAGAUGUUGGGUUAAGUCCCGCAACGAGCGCAACCCUUGUCCUUAGUUGCUACGCAAGAGCACUCUAAGGAGACUGCCGGUGACAAACCGGAGGAAGGUGGGGAUGACGUCAAGUCCUCAUGGCCCUUAUGGGUAGGGCUUCACACGUCAUACAAUGGUCGGAACAGAGGGUUGCCAACCCGCGAGGGGGAGCUAAUCCCAGAAAACCGAUCGUAGUCCGGAUUGCACUCUGCAACUCGAGUGCAUGAAGCUGGAAU
rnacentral:rRNA from 1 species